UUAGAUACCCUAGUAUGCUAACUUUUUAAAAAAUUAAUAUUAAUAAAGAAAUUUUAAACUUUUGGCAGUAGCUUUACUCUUAGGGGAGCUUGUUUAUAGAAUUCACUCUCUAUAUUUCAUUAAUUUCUGUUUAUUUAUCUCCGUCAGCAAGUGUAAACUUUAUAAAUUAAUUUUUAUACCUCAGGUCAAGAUAUAGCAAUAAUUAAAAAAAAUUAGCUACAUUAAUAAAGUUAUGAAUUUAUAAAAGAAAAAUUUUUAAUAAAACUGAACUUAACUGUAAUUUAAUUUAAAAAAAUUAAAUGGAACAACAUAUUCUAUGUACAGAUUGCCCGUCACUUCUUUUAUUUAAAGAAUAAGUCGUAACAAAGUA
rnacentral:rRNA from 1 species